UGCUCCUUUCUGAAAUAGAGUUUUCCCAAUUUUUCAUCCGCAAAUUCUCAAUAAAUUUUCCAGAUUUGAAGAUAUCCUUCAAUUCAGCCGUUUGACCCUCAUUUCCUUUAUUAAUUUCAGCUUCCAAAUCCAAAACUUCCAUAUCUACUAAAGCAUCAAAUCGAGAACCUGAUUUUCUUUCCCGAAAACUAGCUUUGCAGGAAUUACUACUCCUGAAAUUUCGCACUGCUUUCUUCUCCACUACCAUCCAAGGCCCGUAAACGGCGCUUUCACCUUCGCUGACCUCCUUAGCCUGAGUAACUCCCGACUGGUCCUUCUCCGAUGAAGCCUCUGGUUGCAAUGAGCCGCACAAUUCUUUGGUAUGUCCAUAUUUCCUACAUGUAAAACAAAUCGUAGGAAGACCUUCAUAUUCAACCUUCUGAUACAAACCAUUAACACGAACUUGAGCAAUCAGGGGCUUAUCCAGGUUGUUGUAGACGGCCAUCCUAGCAAAUCUGCCUCUAGCUCUGCUAUCCGUGUUAAAAUCUAACCGGAGCACUUUGCCAAUGGUCCCUUCAAUUUCCUCAAUUAUUUUCUUUUUGUACAGGUACCCUGGAACGCCUAGAAGUCUUUAUCCAAGCCAUCACCAUGGUUGGAUAUGGUUGUGAGGGGGUAAACUCUUUGGUCCAAGGUUGGACAGUCAAAUAUUAUCCAUAAAUUAACCAGCCCUGCGACAGUACUUUAGCAUAAUCGCCAGUUGAUUGAAACUUAGCCAGAAAAUAUCCAUUCUCAAUAUCCAUGAGAUGGAAGGGCAUGGAUGGAUUCCAUAGGCUACUGAUACGACUGUGAAGCGCCCCAUACCCAACAUUCCUUCCAAGCAAUUUUAAGACAACCGUGGACUCCAUUUCUUUAAAUAAAAUUUGUUGGAUUCUUUCAGAAAAAGUCAAUAGUAGGAAUUCCAUUGACGAAAGAUCUAUGUAUAUCUCCAUCCAAAAAUUCCAGAUCUUCAUCAGCACUAACACCAGGAGACUCCAACCCUUUCUUAUUCAGAGACCCAAAAGCAGGGAUUUAAAUAGCGGUCCGUUACCGAAAUAGCGGCCGUUAUAUAGCGGUAGCGGCACCGUCCGAAACCGCUACUGCCGAAACCCGCUAUACCCGCAAUACACAAUAAGUAAUGUAAAAUUCACGACCGCGAUACCUGCAAUGACCGCAAUAGCAUCCGUUAUGUCCGCAACCGCGAUAAACGCAAUGCGACCGAAAACGCGACCACGACCGCAAUUUAAAUCCCUGCCCAAAAAUAAUCCCCAAAAGUUUGUCCUUCCAAGAGAUCGUAGGGCCAAAACUGGAUUCAACCACCAUAUCAAUAAUUUCCUCUUCACUACCAUUUUUGAACUGGACUUUUUUCGUGUUGCAAUCAGCAACUACCUGAUCACCACCACCAUCUUCAUCUUCCGGCAGAGAAGAAAUAGCAUCAACAGACAGAGAGUUUUCCAUUUUUUUAUUCAUUAUAAAAUUUUCUUACUAAUCAAGUAAACAUAUACAUGGUGUAAAUCAUGGCGAUGGUAAAUAUAUUUAUUAAACAUAUAUUUGGAUAUAGUCUCCAAAUUAUUAUAUAUUUACAAAGUUUGGG
rnacentral:lncRNA from 1 species